rnacentral:lncRNA from 1 species
AUAGGGGGAGAUCGCGAACGUCAGGUCUUCCCAGUAUGAAAAUGUGAUGCAAGGGGUAGGUCACGUUCUGAAUACUGUUUUAUAUUUUAUAUUUUACAAUGUGUUCAAGUUUGCUGUACGUUACGGAUUUAUACAUGUCUUUUGUCAUCGACAGCCAUCAGUACCAUUAAGCCCUGCACAACUACCGUGCUGUUUCUCAUUUAACAACAGGGUCGAGCAUGCCGGACACUGUUGCUGUUAUCACGAGAUGGGGCCCCCGCAGGCUUGUGGUUGGGCCAGUUCCUAUUAUGUGCUGCAAGUGGAAACAUCAGUUUGCUUGUGUAAGCUGCAUUGAGACAUAACUAGUUGGUUAGUGGAAAACAUGUGUAAUAGCUGCAAUUCAUGGUAAUAACGUUUGUUAGCUUGGUGCAUGUUAGAGGCACACUAAGUAGAAAAUCUUACAAAUUCUUACACUCAAUAGGUCUAUUUGGAAGUUGAUAACUUGGUAGCCUACAGACAUAUUAGUCUUCUAUUUUCAGCAGGAUCUGUGUUUUCCCGCGAUUGUAUUUGAAAUAUCGCAAAAGGCCUGUUUUGGCUGACAGCAGUAAUUCUAUAACUUUGGCAAAUGUAUUCAAUUUAUCAGGGGGGCUGCAAUACCUCCAGCACCCUUCCCGUGGCUAUGAUUCUAUUAGGAAAUAAAUGAUUAAGUGCAAAGCUGGAGAGAUGAGAGCUGCAUGCCCAUGUCUAUCAGAGCAGGGAGAGAGAUCAUAGAAAGUGAAUCUCAUUCUAGUUCUGUGAGAGAUGCAGGCACACUUCUCAAUCUCACCACAGCAAUGGCCACAUGUUGGUAUUUGUAGCGCAAACUAUAAACCCGGGCCAGCACCACGCAAAUCGAUUAUUAGAACAUCAGGCACUGUUUUUACAUUACGUGUUUUAGGGGGCAGCCGUGAGAAUUAUAGAGUAUUAACUUGAAAUCAUUCUGAUUGCUUUUAUUAUAAUUUUUACAUUGCAAACAGUGAAAAAUUAUGUUUCAUGUUAUGAGAGGUACCGGAUCCUGGCAAAUGGGUUCCGGAAUGAAACAGUCCAAAACUGAGAGUUGCCGGAUCCUGUUCCGGCUCAAAUUAAGUACUGUAGCUAAGCUAGCACCAAGGCUAGCAGAGUAUCUGGAUCUUCUCCUUUUCCUUUUAGACUGCAGUUCAAGGUACCGAGUCAAUGUGUGUGUAUGGGGG